rnacentral:rRNA from 1 species
UAAUACAGAGGGUGCAAGCGUUAAUCAGAAUGACUGGGCGUAAAGGGCGUGUAGGUGGUUGACUAGGUUUGAUGUGAAAUCCCCGGGCUUAACCUGGGAAUUGCGUCGAAAACGGGUUGACUGGAGUGAGAUAGAGGGUUGUGGAAUUUCCGGUGUAGCGGUGAAAUGCGUAGAUAUCGGAAAGAACAUCAGUGGCGAAGGCGACAACCUGGAUCUUAACUGACACUGAGGCGCGAAGGCGUGGGGAGCAAACAGGAUUAGAUACCCUGGUAGUCCACGCAGUAAACGAUGAGAACUGGCUGUGAUGUGUAGGGAGCAAUCUCUGCAUGACGUAGCGAAGCUAACGCGUUAAGUUCUCCGCCUGGGGAGUACGGCCGCAAGGUUA